rnacentral:rRNA from 1 species
GACGAACCGAGCGAACGUUUAUUCGGAAUCACUGGGCUUAAAGGGCGCGUAGGCGGGCCAUCAAGUCAGGGGUGAAAGCCUCCAGCUCAACUGGAGAAGUGCCUCUGAUACUGGUGGUCUCGAGGGAGGUAGGGGCGUGCGGAACUUCCGGUGGAGCGGUGAAAUGCGUAGAUAUCGAGAGGAACACCUGCGGCGAAGGCGGGUAGCUGGGCCGACACUGACGCUGAGGCGCGAAAGCCAGGGGAGCGAACGGG